ACGGUCACAUAACGUUGAAACACCGGUUCCCAUACGAUCACCGAAGUUAAGCAACGUUGAGCCUGGUCAGUACCUAGAUGGGUGAUUGCUUGGGAAUACCAGGUCCUGUAA
rnacentral:rRNA from 1 species